GCAGGGGGAGCAACAUGAAGUCACAGACCCAGGUCCUCAUAUCCCUGCUGCUAUGGGUGUCUGGUGCCUGUGCAGACAUUGUGAUGACUCAGUCUCCAUCCUCCCUGGCUGUGUCAUCAGGAGAGAAGGUCUCCAUCAGCUGCAGGUCCAGUCAGAGCCUUUAUCACAGCAGCAGCAAAAAGAACUUAUUGUACUGGUACCAGCAGAAACCAGGACAGUCUCCUAAGCUGCUAAUCUACCAUGCAUCCACUCGGUACACUGGGGUCCCUGAUCGCUUCACAGGCAGUGGAUCUGGGACAGAUUACACUCUCAGCAUCAGCAGUGUGCAGGAUGAAGACCUGGCAGUUUAUUACUGUUUGCAGGGUAUUAGUGCUCCUCCCACAGUGAUUCAGCUUCCAACACAAACCUCCUUUAGAGUCUCCCCAGCUGCCUGCACCACACACAGUCCUGGCCCUGCACACGUCCCCCUUCUGUGUAAUAGCAGGUGUGUCUGAAAAAGUGAUGAAUAGUU